rnacentral:rRNA from 1 species
AGAUAGCUUGCUAUUUUUAUGAAGAGCGGCGAACGGGUGAGUAACGCGUGGGAAAUCUGCCGAGUAGCGGGGGACAACGUUUGGAAACGAACGCUAAUACCGCAUAACAAUGAGAAUCGCAUGAUUCUUAUUUAAAAGAAGCAAUUGCUUCACUACUUGAUGAUCCCGCGUUGUAUUAGCUAGUUGGUAGUGUAAAGGACUACCAAGGCGAUGAUACAUAGCCGACCUGAGAGGGUGAUCGGCCACACUGGGACUGAGACACGGCCCAGACUCCUACGGGAGGCAGCAGUAGGGAAUCUUCGGCAAUGGGGGCAACCCUGACCGAGCAACGCCGCGUGAGUGAAGAAGGUUUUCGGAUCGUAAAACUCUGUUGUUAGAGAAGAACGUUAAGUAGAGUGGAAAAUUACUUAAGUGACGGUAUCUAACCAGAAAGGGACGGCUAACUACGUGCCAGCAGCCGCGGUAAUACGUAGGUCCCAAGCGUUGUCCGGAUUUAUUGGGCGUAAAGCGAGCGCAGGUGGUUUCUUAAGUCUGAUGUAAAAGGCAGUGGCUCAACCAUUGUGUGCAUUGGAAACUGGGAGACUUGAGUGCAGGAGAGGAGAGUGGAAUUCCAUGGGUUAC